rnacentral:rRNA from 1 species
GACGAACGCUGGCGGCGUGCCUAAUACAUGCAAGUUGAGCGAUGAAGAUUGGUGCUUGCACCAAUUUGAAGAGCAGCGAACGGGUGAGUAACGCGUGGGGAAUCUGCCUUUGAGCGGGGGACAACAUUUGGAAACGAAUGCUAAUACCGCAUAACAACUUUAAACAUAAGUUUUAAGUUUGAAAGAUGCAAUUGCAUCACUCAGAGAUGAUCCCGCGUUGUAUUAGCUAGUUGGUGAGGUAAAGGCUCGCCAAGGCGAUGAUACAUAGCCGACCUGAGAGGGUGAUCGGCCACAUUGGGACUGAGACACGGCCCAAACUCCUACGGGAGGCAGCAGUAGGGAAUCUUCGGCAAUGGACGAAAGUCUGACCGAGCAACGCCGCGUGAGUGAAGAAGGUUUUCGGAUCGUAAAACUCUGUUGGUAGAGAAGAACGUUGGUGAGAGUGGAAAGCUCAUCAAGUGACGGUAACUACCCAGAAAGGGACGGCUAACUACGUG